GGUGGAAUGGCCGAGUGGUUUAAGGCAGCGGUCUUGAAAACCGCCAGGGUGAAAGUCCUCGUGGGUUCAAAUCCUACUUCCACCGCCA
rnacentral:tRNA from 1 species